GAUGAACGCUGGCGGCGUGCCUAAUACAUGCAAGUCGAGCGAACAGAUGAGGAGCUUGCUCCUCUGACGUUAGCGGCGGACGGGUGAGUAACACGUGGAUAACCUACCUAUAAGACUGGGAUAACUUCGGGAAGCCGGAGCUAAUACCGGAUAAUAUAUUGAACCGCAUGGUUCAAUAGUGAAAGACGGUUUUGCUGUCACUUAUAGAUGGAUCCGCGCCGCAUUAGCUAGUUGGUAAGGUAACGGCUUACCAAGGCAACGAUGCGUAGCCGACCUGAGAGGGUGACCGGCCACUGGGGAAGAGACACGCGGCCCAGCCCCCAGGGGGGGGCAGAAGGGGGAAUUCUCCCGAAAGGGGGAAACGCCGGAGGGAACACCGCCGGGGGAGGAAGGAAGUUCGUGGGAUCUAAAAAUUUUUUUAUGGGGGAAAAAAAAAUGUAAAAGUAACUAGACACGUCGGGAGGUUACCAAACAAGAAACCCCCGCCUAACUCCG
rnacentral:rRNA from 1 species